AAAGCGCACGUAGGCGGCUUUGUAAGUAAGAGGUGAAAUCCCCGGGCUCAACCUGGGAAUUGCAUUGGAGACUGCAAGGCUAGAAUCUGGCAGAGGGGGGUAGAAUUCCACGUGUAGCAGUGAAAUGCGUAGAUAUGUGGAGGAACACCGAUGGCGAAGGCAGCCCCCUGGGUCAAGAUUGACGCUCAUGCACGAAAGCGUGGGGAGCAAACAGGAUUAGAUACCCUUGU
rnacentral:rRNA from 1 species